UUAAAUAAAAAAGGAUCCUUAUGAUUCCCAUGUACAAGAAAGCAUGAGAAGCUCUGCUUUAAAGAACAGGAGUGUCAACACUGCCAGAAUGUGACCCAAAAACCCAGAUCCUACCUCUGUCAAAUAUUGGCUGUGUAAGCAGGGGUAAGUCAGGUAGAGUCUGCGAGCCUCGGGGUCCGCAUCCGCAAGAGAGGAAAUAAUCCACAGCCUCGUGUUGUUUAAGGAUGGAGGUAGGGUACACAUGGAAAGCCCCUGAAAUGAUGCUGGUUUAAGUUCUUCAGUGACUCUGCUCAGCCUGUGACCCUGUGUGGAUGGGAUGCUUUAUGUCAGGGUGACCCCAAGGGCAAGGACAGCCCUAUGCUUUCGGUCCCACUCACAGGCUUCCCCCCCGGGCAGUGUGGUGUGGGCAGCUGCAGAGGAGGUGGGGGCGGUGGUAGAGGGUCACAGGUGCGGAGCGGCUCCAGGCCUGGCAGUUCUGAUGUCAGGGAAUGUCCCAGAAGCAGGAGGAAGGUAGGCUGGGCCCAGGGAGGCUUGUUUCCUUUAGCUUUGUGUACAUUAGCUUUAUCAGCGUAUGAACACAUGGGUCCUCACACAUCUAGCCCAAAGCCCGGGACCCGUCCGAUGCCAGAACUGAAAAGGGGAAACCUACGUCAGCAAGAAAAAACAAAACAAAACAAUACUGAAAACGUAAGAGAGAGACAACUCAGACAGUGACAAGAAGGGAGUGCUCACCACACCCAAACUCCGAGGAAGCCUUGGGGAUGUCUGUGUCCCCAGGAGAGAGCCGUGUCCCCGCCAGCAGGUCCGCCCUGCCCUCUGCCCUGUCUGGGGUUUCGGAUCUGCACAAUUGAUGGCUUUAAAUAGAAGAGAAAUCCACAGCCCUGAAUAUCCACUUAACUGAGUUACUGAAAGGCAGUGGCCCAAUACAAAUAUUAUAAUGAAGAUGGAACUGAGAAGGAACCAAUAAGAAGCAAAGAUCAAAAGGAAAAUGCUCUUUCCAAAAUGAAACACACUGUCCAGGAAAUCCUCAGGAAAGCCUUGAACCCGAGAAGCACUUGGCUCUGGAAUCUUGGCCCCUGGUAUGAGCGCGUCUGUUACUCUCUGAAUAGGUCCAGGUGAUACAUACUUCUCAAGAAUGGAGAAAGAAAAUGAGUCCCAGCCUGGAGCGCAGGGCUCUCAGAAGACGGCGUCUGAUUCAUCAGUGCCCCUUGUGCUCCCAGGUUGCUGUAAUCUAACUUCCGGUUUCCAACCUCAUCCAGAGAUCAUGCUGCCUUCUGUGGGCUCAUGUAGGGGUUCUCUCUGCAGUGUCCCAUCAGAGAUCCGCUCCCUUCAACCACCGUGUCAAUCACAACGCAAGUCUUGUUCCCCGUUUGCACAGAAUAUCACCAAGUAGUACCUAUGAGUCCUGUUAGCAGAUGUCAGUGUGGCUAAUAUCUCCUACGUGAUCCAAGUGUUCCUGGAUUGUCACUAUAAUGGAAAUAAUGUCAAGAGCUGGAACUAACCGCUGAGAAAGAAAGCACUGGUACAAACUCAUCUGGAGUCUGUUCUUGUCCUAGACUCUAAGUGAAGAGGAAGAGUCUCUAACAUUUAAGGAUAUUGAUGGUGUACUCUAUGCCCAACACUGUGUGUGUUGCUUUCAUGCACACGGCCUCUUUUAACCCUUCCAAGAACAAGUGGAGAAGCAGGCCAAAGGGGUUCCAUGUCUUUCCUGUGGAGGGUUAAACACUUUGGUCACGUCAAUUCCCCAACAUGAUACUCCAAGUGUGGUUUCUAAGAGUAAAAUUCAGAGUCUUGUCAUGUCCUUCAAGGUCUCACCUUCCAGGCUUAUGUGUGUGUGUGUGUGUGUGUGUGUGUGUGCCUACCUCCACAGUUGUCCAUCUCAGUCUGCAGUCGUGUGGCUUCCUUGUCAGUCUUCUGACAGAGGGUUUGCUUACACACAGGAGUCUUGCAAACCCUGGUCCUGCUGUCCAAAAACUCUGCCUUCAGGUGUCCGUGGCGUCUGCCACAGUCUCCACCCAAAAGUCUCCCCCUCAGAGAAGCCUUCCCUGCUUCCCUACAUAGAAGAACACGUACCACCCCAAAUCACACUGCUUUAGCUUCCUUUCAGGGCUUUUUCAUAUGUUAUUGAUGUUAUGUUACAUCCUGUCAUAUCAUAUAUUUGUUGUGUUUCCCAUGAAAAUAUAAGUAAACUCUGUAGGUGGGAACAUUUUAUAAUGCCAGGGUUUCAAACAUCUGGCACGUAGGGAGGCACUCUAGGAACGUUGAAUAUGUGAAUAAGUUAUGAUUCGUUUUCUCUUCACUGCCCAGGGCACCAUUGUGAUGCCACAGUCAUGUUGGUUUUAUUGUUGUUGCGAAGGUUUCCUGGGCGCGGACUGCAUCUGAAGUAUGAGUUAAAUGCCUUACAAACUUGAUUACAGGUAAUUUUCACAUGCUCACAUAAAGGCAUGUAAGUGAGUUUUAUUAUCACCCCAGUUUUACAGAGAAGGGUAUGUUAUGCUCAGAAAAAUGAAAUAAUAGGUCACAAAACUAGUAAGUAGAGCAUCUGGGAUUUCAAGCCAGGUAUGUCCGACUCUAGAAACCACACUCACAACUACCACAGACAGACAUGCCCACAUUGUCUUAUCAAUGAUUUUGCAAUCUUUAUAGAAUCAGUGAUUUUAGCUCUGUCCUUUCUUGUACAGAUGAGAAAAGCUGAGGCCAAGAGUGGUUUGGAGAAUAUGAAAUCCAGCAAGAUCUAGAACUCAUAUGUCUUUAUACUUUCCUGCAUAUACCGCAGCAGCCUGUGAUUAACAAAGACUCUGAUGAAGAAUGUUAGCUACCAGUCAAGGAGGAAACAUGUUUAGGUCCUUCCUGACAACACCAAUCAAAAUAAUAUAUUCGGUGACAAAUUCAGAAGAAAAGCAUGUGAAAGUCACAUUUGGAAGUGUGAACGAUAUUUGGAUAAUAAGAAUCCUCUGGAUAUAAAUUGGAAAUUAACCCACAAUGUUUGUGAGACUUUCACAUACUCAAUUUGACAAAGGCAGGCUCAAUUCAUAAGAGACGCUGGAUCGAGUUUGUAUCAUUUUUAAGAUAUUUAAGGGAACAUAACCUGGAUAACUAAGGAACUUAUUCUAGCACUUAUUUCUUCAUAAACAAUAUAUACACCUGGAGAUAAUGCUCUCUGAUGUGGGAGCAAAUUUCAACAUAUUUUACUGACCGAGGCUGAAAACAGCUUUGAUGUCUUGUUACACUGAAAGGUACAAUAAUCAAAAACCAGAAUAGAGCUACGGAACUCAAAAAAAGAGAGUAUGGAGGGAUGGGUGGAUAUCUAGAGAGAGCAGUACUGACACAUUCCUUUAAUUGAAGUAUAGUCGACACACAAUAUUUUAUGAGUUCCGGGUGUAUGGCACAGUGAUUUGGCAAAGUCUCUACAUUAUGCUGGACUCACCACAAGUAUAAACCACUGGUCACCAUGCAAGGCUAUUACAAUAGUACUGGCUAUAUUCCCUAGUACGCACGCACUUCUACCUCAAGAUUGUUUAAAAAUGUAAGAAUAUUUCCAUUCAGCACGCUCACAUUGAACAUUUUGACUGAUUACCUACCAGCAUGCCAGAAGUUGAACUUAGUAUCUAUCUCUGUUCUCUCCGAGGCAAUACUAAAAUGAUGUUAAAAAAAAAAAAGAUAAAGGAAGCCCACAUUUCCAAAGAAAAAGUGAAAUGGAGAUGAGAAGACAACAUCAGAAAAGGAUGUGUUUUCAAAACUUGUGGAAGAUAAGCAUGUGGUGGUUCAUUUACAGAACAGGGAACCUAGCUGAGCCUGGAGAAGGGGAAGAAGGGUGUGGAAGGGAAGCCAGAAGGAGCGAGCUGAUGCCGCGGCGGAGUCCACACAGGCCCUGGCAUCAGAGUCACCUCUCACUGCUAAGAUGGGAACCAAACGGGGCUAUAUUGGCAGGAGGAAAGAUGAAGAUUUAAAGAAAUGCAAUCGGACUCCAAGAUCAUCUUCCCAGACUUACGAGGCCGGUGAUACUCUUCCUCUACUCCAGCCCAGGAUCAGACAGUGGCCAUGGGGACAGUUUGAUCAGGUAGACUCUGUUUGGGGACAUCAGACCCAGGCAAUGGCAGGAGUGAGAAUAUGAGUCGCCUUUCUGAAUGAGGACUGGAUCAGUACCUACAAAUUGACCUCUCGCUCCUUUCUUGCGCUUAUUAGACCACUCGGUCCAGUCUGAUCAUAUCUACUUCCCAGCGCACUGCCUCACCAUGUCCCUUUCAAGUGCAAGAUCUCCCUUCUGGGAAGACACCAACAGAUAACGACAUUUACGCAUCCUCCAAUAAAAUGCCCUGGCAGAUAGAUA